AAAUUGAAGAGUUUGAUCAUGGCUCAGAUUGAACGCUGGCGGCAGGCCUAACACAUGCAAGUCGAACGGUAACAGGAAGCAGCUUGCUGCUUCGCUGACGAGUGGCGGACGGGUGAGUAAUGUCUGGGAAACUGCCUGAUGGAGGGGGAUAACUACUGGAAACGGUGGCUAAUACCGCAUAACGUCGCAAGACCAAAGAGGGGGACCUUCGGGCCUCUUGCCAUCAGAUGUGCCCAGAUGGGAUUAGCUUGUUGGUGAGGUAACGGCUCACCAAGGCGACGAUCCCUAGCUGGUCUGAGAGGAUGACCAGCCACACUGGAACUGAGACACGGUCCAGACUCCUACGGGAGGCAGCAGUGGGGAAUAUUGCACAAUGGGCGCAAGCCUGAUGCAGCCAUGCCGCGUGUAUGAAGAAGGCCUUCGGGUUGUAAAGUACUUUCAGCGGGGAGGAAGGUGUUGUGGUUAAUAACCGCAGCAAUUGACGUUACCCGCAGAAGAAGCACCGGCUAACUCCGUGCCAGCAGCCGCGGUAAUACGGAGGGUGCAAGCGUUAAUCGGAAUUACUGGGCGUAAAGCGCACGCAGGCGGUCUGUCAAGUCGGAUGUGAAAUCCCCGGGCUCAACCUGGGAACUGCAUUCGAAACUGGCAGGCUUGAGUCUUGUAGAGGGGGGUAGAAUUCCAGGUGUAGCGGUGAAAUGCGUAGAGAUCUGGAGGAAUACCGGUGGCGAAGGCGGCCCCCUGGACAAAGACUGACGCUCAGGUGCGAAAGCGUGGGGAGCAAACAGGAUUAGAUACCCUGGUAGUCCACGCCGUAAACGAUGUCUACUUGGAGGUUGUGCCCUUGAGGCGUGGCUUCCGGAGCUAACGCGUUAAGUAGACCGCCUGGGGAGUACGGCCGCAAGGUUAAAACUCAAAUGAAUUGACGGGGGCCCGCACAAGCGGUGGAGCAUGUGGUUUAAUUCGAUGCAACGCGAAGAACCUUACCUGGUCUUGACAUCCACGGAAGUUUUCAGAGAUGAGAAUGUGCCUUCGGGAACCGUGAGACAGGUGCUGCAUGGCUGUCGUCAGCUCGUGUUGUGAAAUGUUGGGUUAAGUCCCGCAACGAGCGCAACCCUUAUCCUUUGUUGCCAGCGAUUAGGUCGGGAACUCAAAGGAGACUGCCAGUGAUAAACUGGAGGAAGGUGGGGAUGACGUCAAGUCAUCAUGGCCCUUACGACCAGGGCUACACACGUGCUACAAUGGCGCAUACAAAGAGAAGCGACCUCGCGAGAGCAAGCGGACCUCAUAAAGUGCGUCGUAGUCCGGAUUGGAGUCUGCAACUCGACUCCAUGAAGUCGGAAUCGCUAGUAAUCGUGGAUCAGAAUGCCACGGUGAAUACGUUCCCGGGCCUUGUACACACCGCCCGUCACACCAUGGGAGUGGGUUGCAAAAGAAGUAGGUAGCUUAACCUUCGGGAGGGCGCUUACCACUUUGUGAUUCAUGACUGGGGUGAAGUCGUAACAAGGUAACCGUAGGGGAACCUGCGGUUGGAUCACCUCCUUA
rnacentral:rRNA from 12 species